CUGUGAUUUUGUAGUAGUUUCUAUCUGAGAUUUUUUUUUCUUAUAUAUGUGAAAAAAACAUAUUAGUAGCCAAUACUGCAAUAGCAAACAGUCCACUCUGACUGAAUCUUAGUUACUUAGGAUAGUCUGUCCAACAUUGCCCCAGGAUAUCAUUUGAAUUGUCUCCUAGAGGAGGGAAUCAAAACCCUCAUACACAUUUAUGAUUGGAGUCUCAAACAAUUUUGGAAUCUAAAUUGUAUUUUUCAGUUUAAAACAAAAUUCCUAUUACAUAUAUAUAUAUAUAUAAAUAUAUUAAAAAUGUACAAGGCAGAAAAAGUGGUAUGAUAUGAUUGAAUCACUGGCAUGAAUGAAACAAUUUCUGAGAUUUUUUUCAUCUUUUAUUUUAAAUAGGUAUCACACAGGUUUUCAAUGAUGUUUGCUUUUUUUGCGGGGACUUUGAAGACAUUGCAAACAAUCCUGAAAUAGUUCAGCUGAAGGAAGACUUCAGUAUUGUGCGGCCCAUAUACAAAGGAUGCAUUGGAAGAAAAUGAAACCUGCGACCAGGAAUGCCAAAAAAGUUAAAAAAA
rnacentral:lncRNA from 1 species